ACGCAAGUCGUCCAGCAAGGGGGGGCACGCUCAUUGCCCCCACCUCUCCUAAAGCGCUUGCCAGAGAAAACCCCGAGGUGGUUUGAGGCCGCGUUCGGCUCCUCCUGGACGCGGUUAUAGAAUCCUCGCACAGAA
rnacentral:snoRNA from 1 species